CCAGCUGCACUAGGACCUGGUGUCUCCUGUCACCCUGAUUCAGACAUCAGCUGCACAUGCUAGAUAGUCAAUACUGCAGAAGGAGAACAAUCACCACUUCAUCUCUGUUGAUUAAUUGAUUGAUUAAUUGAUUGAUUUAUAAAUGAUUGAUUGAAUAGAACAUUGCCAUGAUUGUGAGUUAGCUGUUUUUUUGUAUUGAAUUUUUUGUAAGUAAUCUAAAAUCAGUAUUUAUAUCCACAAAUGAUUAGUUUAAGAUCACUUGACCGUUUUAACCCUUUGAGACACUGCCAUGAGGAGAGAUCCCUGUAGUGUUGAUUAUAAAGCUGAGAUAGAAGAAUGUGAUAACACACGUUUUAUAGUCAUCUUUUGGUAUAUGUAUACUGAAUCACUGUUGGAUUCAAACGGAUUCUAAAAAUUGAAAGGGUAAAAACAUAUGAAAGUUUAAAAAUGAGAGACUGAGGAAAUAACUUGUUGUCGGACGUGAGAUUUUAGAAAGCGAAAUCUUGUUGUAUCAUAAUAUUACAAUGGAUUGUACAGUGUACAUUAUAAGUAAUAAAGGAUAUUUUCUAAACAUGU